AUACGUAGGGGGCAAGCGUUAUCCGGAUUCAUUGGGCGUAAAGAGCGCGUAGGCGGACGUUUAAGCAGAAUCUCUAAUCUGAGGGCUCAACCCCCAGCCGGAUUCUGAACUGGAUGUCUCGAGUUUGGUAGAGGAAGAUGGAAUUCCCGGUGUAGCGGUGGAAUGCGCAGAUAUCGGGAAGAACACCGAUGGCGAAGGCAGUCUUCUGGGCCAUAACUGACGCUGAGGCGCGAAAGCUAGGGGAGCGAACAGGAUUAGAUACCCUGGUAGUCCUAGCCGUAAACGAUGGGCACUAGGUGUGGGGGGAUUCUCCCUCCGUGCCGCAGCUAACGCAUUAAGUGCCCCGCCUGGGGAGUACGGCCGCAAGGCUAAA
rnacentral:rRNA from 1 species